AGUGAGCGCUGGCGGUAGGCCUAACACAUGCAAGUCGAACGGCAGCACAGUAAGAGCUUGCUCUUACGGGUGGCGAGUGGCGGACGGGUGAGGAAUACAUCGGAAUCUACUUUUUCGUGGGGGAUAACGUAGGGAAACUUACGCUAAUACCGCAUACGACCUACGGGUGAAAGCAGGGGAUCUUCGGACCUUGCGCGAUUGAAUGAGCCGAUGUCGGAUUAGCCAGUUGGCGGGGUAAAGGCCCACCAAGGCGACGAUCCGUAGCUGGUCUGAGAGGAUGAUCAGCCACACUGGAACUGAGACACGGUCCAGACUCCUACGGGAGGCAGCAGUGGGGAAUAUUGGACAAUGGGCGCAAGCCUGAUCCAGCCAUACCGCGUGGGUGAAGAAGGCCUUCGGGUUGUAAAGCCCUUUUGUUGGGAAAGAAAAGCAGCAGGUUAAUACCCCGCUGUUCUGACGGUACCCAAAGAAUAAGCACCGGCUAACUUCGUG
rnacentral:rRNA from 1 species